ACUGUGGUUUGAAUUGAAUAGUGACACAUACGUGACAUUUCUGUUCCUGCUCAAAUUUUUCAUUGGAACUGAAAAGGUUUAUUUAUAAUAUAACUUUCAGGUGUUUCAAUUUUGAUAUUAGUUAGCCUAAGUUGCCUUAUUCAAAUUUAUCAAAAUAAAUUAUGAAUUGAUAUUAUAAGUAAAUACUUGGGUAGCUCUUGCCGCGGAUUCUGUCAUGAUUGAGGUAAACACUGUCAAUUUAAAGAAUUGUGGAGGUGUGGGAAACAGUAAUGAUGAAAGUCAUGUUGUCAACGAGUAUAUUUCCAACAACAUCAAGAAUGAAAUAGACAUCGAUGAGACCCCAAUUCAGGAAUUAAAACAGUAUGAUGUCGAUAUUAGUAUAGUUAAACACGAGGUAGAAGACGACAAUUUCCAUGAAAACGAAUCACUGGAGGAGGAGAAAGAGAAGGAUGACAAAGAAGAAGGAGAAGAAGCAAAACAAGAUGAUGAUGACAAUGAUAAUGAUUUCUCUGAUCACAUCAAGGAUGAAAUAGAGAUUGACGAAAAACCAUUUCAGUUUCCCAUGGAGGAUAUUCCUUGUAAUAUUGCUUUUGGUUCAGUAAAGCAUAUUCAGAAUGAAGAUGUAAACGUUGGUGUUGCCAAUAUUAACUGCAAAGCUGAAAAUGUGAAGAAUAAGAUAGAUAUCAAUGAAGGAAUUAGCAUAAAAGAGGAACUUGAAUUCAUUAAGAAAGAUUUCUUGAAUGAAGAUGCAGUGGACCCACUACUACCAAAGGUAGAAGCCGACAAUUUCCAUGAAAACGAAUCACUGCAGAAGGAGAAAGAAAAGGAUGGCAAAGAAGAAGGAGAAGAAGCAAAAAAAGAAGAAGAUGAUGAUGAUGAUGAUGAUGAUGAUGAUGAUUUCUCUGAUCACAUCAAGGAUGAAAUAGAGAUUGACGAAAAACCAUUUCAGUUUCCCAUGAAGGAUAUUCCUCGUAAUAUUGCUGUUGGUUCAGUAAAGCAUAAUAUUCAGAAUGAAGAUGUAAACGUUGGCGUUGCCAAUAUUAACUGCAAAGCUGAAAAUGUGAAGAAUAAGAUAGAUAUCAAUGAAGGAAUUCGCGUAAAAGAGGAACUCGCAUUCGUCAAGAAAGAGUUCUUGAAUGAAGAUGCAGUGGACCCACUCCUACCAAAGUUGGCCAUGUGGCAGUUGUAAGUCUAUGCAGAUUGGAAGAUUUAGCCUCAGAUGUUGGACGGUCCUUGGACGUCCAAUCGUCCAAUCAAGAUGACGAACCAUCAGUUGAAGGAGGAUCUAGUAACAGUUUAGGAGAAGGAAGGCUGCAGUUGAGGUGUUUGAGAAAGUACCGCAUCAAUACAUCAGAGAGAGGAGGAGAUGCUGAGACCAUUCAAAAGUCCAAGCACAGGAACAUCAAAGCCUAUCAUUGCAGCAGGUGUAAGUUCACUUGCCUGACAAAGACUCGACUGGAAGACCAUCUACAGAGUCACGGAAAGGCAAAGCAUGUAUGUUCAGUUUGUGAAUACAUGACGCAAGAUUCUUCUCUAUUUGAAAUACAUUCCAAGAUUCAUGAAUGUGGAAAACCACCUUACGAGUGUGAUGUAUGUGAUUAUAAAACCAUAGAAAAAUCAAAGUUCAUAAUACACUGUAGAAGGCACACUGAAGAGAAGCCCUUCACUUGUGGCAUAUGUAAUUCCAAAUUUUUUCGUAAAUCUCAUUUGGCUGUACAUAUUGCAAGACACACUGGAAUAAGACCCUAUAAGUGCGAGAAGUGUGAUUACAAAGCCACCACCAGACAUUCUUUGAAAUUACACAUUGGACGGAUUCAUCUCAGACAGAUUCAAAAAAAGAACUUCUGUUGUAGUCAGUGUGAUUCAGCAUUUUUUUACCGGUCAGAUUUGUUAGACCAUGAAAGGUGCAUUCAUAAAGGGGAUGAGGAAAUGAUCUACAGCUGUACAAUAUGCAAAUUCAAAUGCAACAGGAUGAGAAAUUUGCAUUUUCAUAAGAGAAUUCAUACUGUAAAGAAAACAUUGAGUUGUAAUGAGUGCAGUUUCAAGUGUUCCAAGCCCAGCAAACUGAAUGAGCAUAAAAGAAUGCAUAGUGGAGAAAAGCCUUUCAAGUGUAAUGUGUGCCAAUAUACAGCUGCCAGGAAAACAUAUUUGAAAUUGCAUAUAAGAACUCAUACCAAAGAGAAGCCUUACUGCUGUGAUCAAUGUGACUACAGGGCUGCAUCUUCAUGUGGUUUGUCAAUUCAUAAAAAAACUCAUUGUCCUACUGGUGAAAAACGUUUCAAAUGUGAUAUUUGUGGUUUCAAUUGCAAUACUUUAGGAAAUUUAAAAACUCAUAUUAGAACUCACACUGGUGAAAAACCGUUUAAAUGUGAUAUUUGUAGUUUCAAUUGCAAUGCUUUAGGAAAUUUAAAAACUCAUAUUAGAACUCACACUGGUGAAAAACCGUUUAAAUGUGAUAUUUGUGAUUACAAGAGUGCACAGUCAUCCUAUUUGAAAACUCAUGUUCGAGUUCAUCAUAGUGGUGAGAAACCAUUUAAAUGUGAUAAUUGUGAUUACCAGAGUUCAGCUUCGUCAACUUUGAAAAUCCAUGUUAGAACUCAUCACACUGGUGAAAAACCGUUCAAGUGUGAUUUUUGUAAUUACAGGAGUGCACAGUCAUCCAAUUUCAAAAAACAUGUUCGAACUCAUCACACUGGUGAAAAACCGUUCAAGUGUGAUUUCUGUAAUUACAGGAGUGCACAGUCAUCCAAUUUGAAAACACAUGUUCGAACUCAUCACACUGGUGAGGAACCAUUUAAAUGUGAUAAUUGUGAUUACCAGAGUUCAGUUUCGGCAUCUUUGAAAAACCAUGUUAGAACUCAUCAUACUGGUGAAAAACCAUUUAAAUAACUGUAUGUUUUUGAUCACAAAUGUCAUCCUCUUCAAAAAUUUAUGCUAGAACUGAUACUGGUGAACACCCUUUCAGAUGUGACAUUGUGUGCCAGGGUGACAAUUAUACAAUCUACAAAUACAUAAAAAUAAGUAUCAUGAAACAUUAUAGUGUAGUUGAAGGCUCAGUUUCUGUGCCUUUGAAACAUACUGUUCUAUGUAGUAUUGUUCCACAACUUAAAAAAUCGAAAUUAUCUAAUAUUUUACUUCUUCAAGUAACUUCUACUCACAUAUUUAACUCUUUGAACAGAAAAAUUUGAUCUGUCGUAUUUUUUCAUGUAUAUGCUACUCAUUAUUUCAUUUCUGUAUUAUUAGCAUCUUUAGAUCUAAAUAUAUUGGCCUGAGAUAUUA
rnacentral:misc_RNA from 1 species